AGCGAACGCUGGCGGCAGGCCUAACACAUGCAAGUCGAACGCCCCGCAAGGGAGGUGGCAGACGGGUGAGUAACGCGUGGGAACAUACCCUUCGGUUCGGAAUAACUCAGGGAAACUUGGGCUAAUACCGGAUACGUCCGUGAGGAGAAAGAUUUAUCGCCGAAGGAUUGGCCCGCGUAAGAUUAGCUAGUUGGUGAGGUAACGGCUCACCAAGGCUAUGAUCUUUAGCUGGUCUGAGAGGACGAUCAGCCACACUGGGACUGAGACACGGCCCAGACUCCUACGGGAGGCAGCAGUGGGGAAUAUUGGACAAUGGGCGAAAGCCUGAUCCAGCCAUGCCGCGUGAGUGAUGAAGGCCUUAGGGUUGUAAAGCUCUUUUACCCGGGAAGAUAAUGACGGUACCGGGAGAAUAAGCCCCGGCUAA
rnacentral:rRNA from 1 species